rnacentral:rRNA from 2 species
UGUAUAAUGGGUCAGCGACUUAUAUUCUGUAGCAAGGUUAACCGUAUAGGGGAGCCGAAGGGAAACCGAGUCUUAACUGGGCGUUAAGUUGCAGGGUAUAGACCCGAAACCCGGUGAUCUAGCCAUGGGCAGGUUGAAGGUUGGGUAACACUAACUGGAGGACCGAACCGACUAAUGUUGAAAAAUUAGCGGAUGACUUGUGGCUGGGGGUGAAAGGCCAAUCAAACCGGGAGAUAGCUGGUUCUCCCCGAAAGCU